rnacentral:rRNA from 1 species
GAUGAACGCUAGCUACAGGCUUAACACAUGCAAGUCGAGGGGAAACGAUAGAGAAAGCUUGCUUUUUCUAGGCGUCGACCGGCGCACGGGUGAGAACGCGUAUCCAACCUGCCCAUCACUUGGGGAUAACCUUGCGAAGUAAGACUAAUACCCAAUGACGUCUCUAGAAGACAUCUGAAAGGGAUUAAAGAUUUAUCGGGGAUGGAUGGGGAUGCGUCUGAUUAGCUUGUUGUCGGGGUAACGGCCCACCAAGGCGACGAUCAGUAGGGGCUCUGAGAGGAAGGUCCCCCACAUUGGAACUGAGACACGGUCCAAACUCCUACGGGAGACAGCAGUGAGGAAUAUUGGUCAAUGGACGAGAGUCUGAACCAGCCAAGUAGCGUGCAGGAUGACGGCCCUAUGGGUUGUAAACUGCUUUUAUAAGGGAAUAAAAUGAGAGUCGUGACUCUUUUUGCAUGUACCUUAUGAAUAAGGACCGGCUAAUUCCGUGCCAGCCGCCGCGGUAA